UGGCACGGCCGGGCCGACGGAAAAUCAUUUUCCCCUUUGUCAGCAACUUCCCUCCUCGCCCCUUUGGCCUCGAGGAGGCGGGACCGGCCCCAGCCCGUGCCCGGCGCUCGGUUUUUCGGUGCAGUUUUCGGCCGUUGGCCCCGGCUUUGCCCCCGUCGUGGUUCCGUGGGUCCCUGGGCGCCGGUUCUCCCUUCCGCCGUUUCCCCGCCGCCGUGGGGCGAGGGUUGGGGGCGGCGGGACCCUCCGCUUGGCUUUGCCGGCGUCGUCGCUUCCGUAGCGGGGCAGCUCCUGAGGAGCUUCGCUUCCUUUUGGGGCGCUCAGGGAACAGAUCUUGGGGGGGGGGAGGGGGGGGAGGAGAGAAGACAGACAAAAAAAAGGGGGUUCAGAGAAAAAGGGGUGACGGGGGUUCGGCGUUGGGGGCUGACGGACGUGUCAGUGCGUUUACUUUGAACCAAGAUCAUAGAGAACUCAAGGUUUUUUUGCUUCAUCAGCCACCGUCUGAGGGAGGAGGGGAUGUUUUGGGGGGGUUUGGUCCCCUCCGGACUCACCUUUGUCUGGUUCCUCGCCCACCUCCUGCCGAUAAUAUUCGGCGUCGCUCUCCUCCGACUGCUCGGCCGCGUCCUGCUGCUCCGACGCACCGGGAUCCUCGGCGUCGCUGUCACCAUCCUGCUGCCGUUUCCUCCGGAUCCCCGCCAGGCUCUUCUCUCUGCGGGGGUCACCGUCACGUCACGGAAUUUUACGGGGUUGGAAGGGACCUUCUGGAGAUCGUCUCCUCCAACCUCCCCAGCCAGAGCAGGGGCACCCAGAGCAGGUCCCACAGGGUCCCAUCCAGGAGGGGUUUGAAUGUCUCCAGAGAUGGAGACUCCUCCACCUCUCUGGGCAGCCUCUCCCAGGGCUCUGCCACCCUCAAAGUCAAGAAGUUCCUCCUCAUGUUGAGAUGGAACUUCUCACGUCCCAGUUUGUGCCCGUUCCCUCUUGUCCUGUCACUGGGCACCACUGGAAAAAGCCUGGCCCCAUCCUCCUGACACCCAC
rnacentral:lncRNA from 1 species